ensembl:lncRNA
AUUAUUGUUAGCAUUUUUCUGGUUGAACAUGACAAGUAAAGUAAAUGAGUCAUGAAUACUAAAAUUAAUUGAGCUCAAGCUCAUGGAGUGGCUGUAACUAAGGAGGUAGAGCAGGUCAUCUACUGAUCAGACAGUUUGUUCCCUGGCUGCUCCAGGCUGUAUGUUAAAUAUCCUUUGGCAAGAUACUAACCCCAAGUUGCUCUCUGAUGCAUUCAUCUGAGUAUAAAUGUGUGUGACUGAUAGAUUUGCAAGUGUUGUGGAAAAUUUAACAAUAACCUGCAAUGGGGAAACCUUUUGAAUACAAGCGCGCUGAUUCACACAGGUGUGCACACAGAUGUUCACUGUCCAUAGACAUAAACUACACCUUUCUUGGCUGCUACCUCAAAGCACAUUGUGCGCUGUCGGUCCUGGGUGCUGCACCACAACAUUCAAUAUUUAGUAUUUACUGCUGUUUACACUUAGCUAGAUUAAUGCGGUGGUGUUGUGUUUAUUAUGUUGCUCUGUUUAUUUGCUUGUUUUCUCUUCUUUUCCUCUCAACAGGUGAUCCAGGAGGUUUUUUUUUUUCUUUUUUUCUCUCUCUUUCUCUUUUUAAGCACCCUUUCUCACUGUCCCUCUUCCCUUCUGUUUUUCUUUUCCUUCAUCUUUCUUUCUCCCUUUCCUAUCCCCUAGUCAUGUCUGUCCCAUCUGUAACAACUGAAAAUAAAAUAAAAUAAAUAAUAACAACAAAGGUCGAUCAAAUGGACCAAUACGGCAAGGCCGCGAUGAUCCACUUGGUAAAGUAAAUUCAUUGGGUAUUCUUGUUGGUCUUCAGACAACAAUUCUGACAGCUAAAGAACCAAAUGGGACAGGCAAAAAAAACAACCCCAAAAAACAAUAACCUGCAACACACCCAGUGAGCUUGAUUUGAAGUGGGUUUAAUAAACACAUUGCAAUGUGGAGAGAGCAUCCCAGUGAAACACUAGGACUAUCUCUGAAUUGUGGCCACUGCCUUUACAUCUUAUAUACAGAGACAGAACAGAACAUUCCACAAACUCUUACAUGUUGGCCUCUCUCACGGGGGGGGGGCUAUACCUUCUCCCUCACAGAGAGAAUUAUGACCUUGUUUUCUGCUUAGCCGUCACCUAAGGAUUUACAUCCCUGAUAAGCAGAAGUAGUCUC